GUGCUUCGGCAUCGAACCGUCCGCGCACGCUCCAUGUCAGUGAUGCAUCAAGAAUUUCUUGUGCCCCGAACGGAUUCCUGUAUUUKUUGCCUAUCGUAAAGGAAUGGUUCCUCUCGUUGACCCUUUCCUUCCCCGACCCAUGCGGCCUGGGGAAGGACAUCAUAGCAWCGCUUGUGCCCCUAGUACUGAACGUGCCUCAUGGCGCGCACAUUGCGAAGGUUCCCAAGUUGCAUGCUUGAUAUCUCGGAUACGGAAAAUGCGGUGGACUCGGGGUCUUUGCACCCUUGCACGUCCAAUUUAAAGCGAAAUGUACGACYGCCAAGCUCGUUGCGGGGUUUCCCGCGCGYUGCUUGGCGUCGACAAAGGAUGCUACCUGGUU
rnacentral:misc_RNA from 1 species